GACGAACGCUGGCGGCGUGCUUAACACAUGCAAGUCGAACGGAAAGGCCCUGCUUUUGUGGGGUGCUCGAGUGGCGAACGGGUGAGUAACACGUGAGUAACCUGCCCUUGACUUUGGGAUAACUUCAGGAAACUGGGGCUAAUACCGGAUAGGAGCUCCUGCUGCAUGGUGGGGGUUGGAAAGUUUCGGCGGUUGGGGAUGGACUCGCGGCUUAUCAGCUUGUUGGUGGGGUAGUGGCUUACCAAGGCUUUGACGGGUAGCCGGCCUGAGAGGGUGACCGGCCACAUUGGGACUGAGAUACGGCCCAGACUCCUACGGGAGGCAGCAGUGGGGAAUAUUGCACAAUGGGCGGAAGCCUGAUGCAGCAACGCCGCGUGCGGGAUGACGGCCUUCGGGUUGUAACCCGCUUUCGCCUGUGACGAAGCGUGAGUGGCGGUAAUGGGUAAAGAAGCACCGGCUAACUACGUG
rnacentral:rRNA from 1 species